UUAAUAUAGGGCAGGAUAUCACGUGUAGACGGUGCUGCCUGGCUCGCCGCGUUUUCUGGAAUGUAUUGGCGUCGGCGGGGCCGCCCGGCAGAGCUCACGGGCGGGCACCGGGCGAGGAUUCCUCCCUCUCUUUCGCCGGGGCAUGGGAGCUGCCCCUGCGGAUCAGCAUCACCUUCACAUACACCUCUAAAUGGACAACGCGACGAAACAUGUCCUUUGAAGUGGACACCACAAGAAC
rnacentral:lncRNA from 1 species